rnacentral:rRNA from 1 species
ACGCUGGCGGCAGGCCUAACACAUGCAAGUCGAGCGGCAUCGGGAAGGUAGCUUGCUAUCUUUGCCGGCGAGCGGCGGACGGGUGAGUAANGUCUGGGGAUAUGCCUGAUGGAGGGGGAUAACUACUGGAAACGGUAGCUAAUACCGCAUGAUGUUACGCGACCAAAGCGGGGGNCCUCCGGGCCUCGCGCCAUCAGAUGAACCCAGAUGGGAUUAGCUAGUAGGAGAGGUAAUGGCUCNCCUAGGCGACGAUCCCUAGCUGGUCUGAGAGGAUAACCAGCCACACUGGAACUGAGAGACGGUCCAGACUCCUACGGGAGGCAGCAGUGGGGAAUAUUGCACAAUGGGCGCAAGCCUGAUGCAGCCAUGCCGCGUGUGUGAAGAA